UCCGCGGUAGCUCAAUGGUAGAGCAGCUGGCUGUUAACCAGUUGGUUGUAGGUCCGAGUCCUACCCGCGGAG
rnacentral:tRNA from 1 species